AGAAAAUUUAGAAAACAUUCUCAGGGUUUACCUCGUCGAUGGGCCUGCGAUUCCGACCCAAUGAUUUCGGCCAGGUGUGUGGGUGAGUAAUUUCAUACUAAUCCAAAUUAAAGAUCCCAGAGCGACCAGAAUAAUGAACUUCCGGCUAACACCCUUCAAGCCCAUUAAACCUCGAAAAGCAAUUGAGUGCCUGCCAAGUGGGACCUUCAGACAUCCCCAAUGUCCGACCAUAUCAACCCAGAUCUUCGAUGUCAUAACACCUACAUAUGGCAACCAGUUCGCUUCCCAUGACAAAUGCUCUAUCUCUUAUCAGCCUACUGGAACUAGCCGUGUAUUGCUACAUCUAGACCGUUUUAAUUAUUUUGUACAAUCGAAUACACGCACUUGAGAGCAAUAUAUGGUAGUACGUUAUAUAGGGUCGGUGUUAUAUAUUCCUAUAAAGUAUACAUACGUAUAGCUAUAUACCCCUGAUAAGCCAGUAUGUGUCCGGAUUGAAAUGUUUAAUUUACAAUUGAGAUAGUUCCGAGGGUUUUGAGAACAGUGGCUUCAAAUUUUUGGACGGAGAGCAGGUAAAAGAGGAAUAUCGAAUCUGAAGAGCGGACCAAAAACAAAGAAAAAGAACGGGCAAGAAGAAGAACUAGUGUAACAGGUAGUCGCGUUUUCGUUUUGUUCCUAUAUCAGGGCUCUCUUUUCUCUCCACAGAAGGGCAUGAAAAAUCCCGGUAAAUAAUCUUUCCCUAUACCCGAAACACAGCAGCUCCAAUCUGAAAAACAAAACCACUUCAGCAUCCAAAAGUACAAAAACAACGACAACACAACGGGUUCCAAGAACUUGUCGCCUCCGCACACAAAUACAGACACAGACGGAGCUCCAAUAUGGCAGAUUCCGAGUUAAGAGUUGGCAGGGCGCGGGGUGGGGUUGGGGUCGUGUCCCAACGGGGGGUUAAAUGCAUCGGCAGACUCAUGAGCGUCGGCGUUGCCAGAUGACGAUAAAAUUAAAUCAUAAAUCUUGGGUGCUGAAAAAACAACUGUCUUAACCCCAGAAGGUAUGCAACAUUUUAAUAUAAUAUUUGAAAAUUUUGAAUUUCUUAAAAUAAUG